CCUACGGGCGGCAGCAGUGGGGGAUAUUGCACAAUGGGGGAAACCCUGAUGCAGCGACGCCGCGUGUGGGAAGACGGUCUUCUGGAUUGUAAACCACUGUCCCCAGGGACGAAAAUGACGGUACCUGGGGAGGAAGCUCCGGCUAACUACGUGCCAGCAGCCGCGGUAAUACGUAGGGAGCAAGCGUUGUCCGGAAUUACUGGGGGUAAAGGGAGUGUAGGCGGGGAUGCAAGUUGGGUGUCAAAACUACCGGCUCAACCGAUAGUCGCACUCAAAACUGCAGCUCUUGAGUGAAGUAGAGGCAGGCGGAAUUCCGAGUGUAGCGGUGAAAUGCGUAGAUAUUAGGAGGAACACCAGUGGCGAAGGCGGCCUGCUGGGCUUUUACUGACGCUGAGGCUCGAAAGUGUGGGGAGCAAACAGGAUUAGAUACCCUAGUAGUC
rnacentral:rRNA from 1 species